UACGUAGGGGGCAAGCGUUGUCCGGAAUCAUUGGGCGUAAAGAGCGUGUAGGCGGCCCGGUAAGUCCGCUGUGAAAGUCGGGGGCUCAACCCUCGGAUGCCGGUGGAUACUGUCGGGCUCGAGUACGGAAGAGGCGAGUGGAAUUCCUGGUGUAGCGGUGAAAUGCGCAGAUAUCAGGAGGAACACCAAUUGCGAAGGCAGCUCGCUGGGACGUAACUGACGCUGAGACGCGAAAGCGUGGGGAGCAAACAGG
rnacentral:rRNA from 1 species